AGUGAAUAUUAAUGUUCAGCAGAUCAUGAGGAACUACAAGUUCUCCAAUGUAAGAAGCCGAGUGGGAGAUGAGAGAGCAAGAAACCUUUCCUCAGACAAAUUGCACUUGAAAGAUGAAAAUAUAAAUCAACAGUCAGUAUCUUCUGUUUCUACCUUUGACAGAUGAAGAUAACAAACACAACUGGGACCUUGUGUGGUUCAGGGCUCUGAGAUAAGGACUUUAACCAAGUUUGGAACCUCCUAAAAUACCACUCACUUAGAAUCUGGGACUGAGCCAUGACCUUCUAUUGUUCAAAGGCAUUUUCCUUUGUAAUAAUUCC
rnacentral:lncRNA from 1 species